rnacentral:rRNA from 1 species
UACGUAGGGCGCAAGCGUUGUCCGGAAUUAUUGGGCGUAAAGAGCUCGUAGGCGGCUUGUCACGUCGGGGUGUGAAAGCCCGGGGCUUAACCCCGGGUCUGCAUUCGAUACGGGCUAGCUAGAGUGUGGCAGGGGAGAGCGGAACUCCUGGUGUAGCGGUGGAAUGCGCAGAUAUCAGGAAGAACACCAGUGGCGAAGGCGGCUCACUGGCCCGAUACUGACGCUGAGGCACGAAAGCGUGGGGAGCAAACAGG